rnacentral:misc_RNA from 1 species
GAAAUGCGAUAACUAGUGUGAAUUGCAGAAUUCCGUGAAUCAUCGAGUCUUUGAACGCACAUUGCGCCCCCUGGUAUUCCGGGGGGCAUGCCUGUCCGAGCGUCAUUGCUGCCCAUCAAGCACGGCUUGUGUGUUGGGUCGUCGUCCCCUCUCCGGGGGGGAUGGGCCCCAAAGGCAGCGGCGGCACCGCGUCCGAUCCUCGAGCGUAUGGGGCUUUGCCACCCGCUCUGUAGGCCCGGCCGGCGCUUGCCGAACGCAAAUCAAUCUUUUUCCAGGUUGACCUCGGAUCAGGUAGAGAUACCCGCUGAAGUUAAGC